rnacentral:lncRNA from 1 species
GAUCCCCACUUUGACUCUUGAUUGGCUUCCAACGUUAACUCUCUUUCUCUAGAAAAUGUCCUGAGCAUUGUGAGCAAUGAUGAUCUUCCAAGUCUUUCUCUUGGUGGAAAGAGCAGCCUGGUGUGUGACUUAAUUUACUUCCUUUAAGAUCACAAGGCCGCCAGUCCCUGGAUUUCAAGAAAUACGGUUUAGAAGCCCAGAAGGCCUAGAUUCCAUUGAAUUUGGAUUUGAACUCGCCUGCUUACGUCACUGGGCUGGACACUCCAUUCAAAUCAGCCCCCAUUUCUCUACAGGUAAAAUACGAGUAGUGUAACUAUCUUGUAGGACUAUGAGGAGAAUUAGAGAAAAUUGCUU